GGGACACGUGGUAUCCUGUCUGAAUAUGGGGGGACCAUCCUCCAAGGCUAAAUACUCCUGACUGACCGAUAGUGAACCAGUACCGUGAGGGAAAGGCGAAAAGAACCCCGGCGAGGGGAGUGAAAAAGAACCUGAAACCGUGUACGUACAAGCAGUGGGAGCACGCUUAGGCGUGUGACUGCGUACCUUUUGUAUAAUGGGUCAGCGACUUAUAUUCUGUAGCAAGGUUAACCGAAUAGGGGAGCCGAAGGGAAACCGAGUCUUAACUGGGCGUUAAGUUGCAGGGUAUAGACCCGAAACCCGGUGAUCUAGCCAUGGGCAGGUUGAAGGUUGGGUAACACUAACUGGAGGACCGAACCGACUAAUGUUGAAAAAUUAGCGGAUGACUUGUGGCUGGGGGUGAAAGGCCAAUCAAACCGGGAGAUAGCUGGUUCUCCCCGAAAGCUAUUUAGGUAGCGCCUCGUGAAUUCAUCUCCGGGGGUAGAGCACUGUUUCGGCAAGGGGGUCAUCCCGACUUACCAACCCGAUGCAAACUGCGAAUACCGGAGAAUGUUAUCACGGGAGACACACGGCGGGUGCUAACGUCCGUCGUGAAGAGGGAAACAACCCAGACCGCCAGCUAAGGUCCCAAAGUCAUGGUUAAGUGGGAAACGAUGUGGGAAGGCCCAGACAGCCAGGAUGUUGGCUUAGAAGCAGCCAUCAUUUAAAGAAAGCGUAAUAGCUCACUGGUCGAGUCGGCCUGCGCGGAAGAUGUAACGGGGCUAAACCAUGCACCGAAGCUGCGGCAGCGACACUAUGUGUUGUUGGGUAGGGGAGCGUUCUGUAAGCCUGUGAAGGUGUGCUGUGAGGCAUGCUGGAGGUAUCAGAAGUGCGAAUGCUGACAUAAGUAACGAUAAAGCGGGUGAAAAGCCCGCUCGCCGGAAGACCAAGGGUUCCUGUCCAACGUUAAUCGGGGCAGGGUGAGUCGACCCCUAAGGCGAGGCCGAAAGGCGUAGUCGAUGGGAAACAGGUUAAUAUUCCUGUACUUGGUGUUACUGCGAAGGGGGGACGGAGAAGGCUAUGUUGGCCGGGCGACGGUUGUCCCGGUUUAAGCGUGUAGGCUGGUUUUCCAGGCAAAUCCGGAAAAUCAAGGCUGAGGCGUGAUGACGAGGCACUACGGUGCUGAAGCAACAAAUGCCCUGCUUCCAGGAAAAGCCUCUAAGCAUCAGGUAACAUCAAAUCGUACCCCAAACCGACACAGGUGGUCAGGUAGAGAAUACCAAGGCGCUUGAGAGAACUCGGGUGAAGGAACUAGGCAAAAUGGUGCCGUAACUUCGGGAGAAGGCACGCUGAUAUGUAGGUGAAGUCCCUCGCGGAUGGAGCUGAAAUCAGUCGAAGAUACCAGCUGGCUGCAACUGUUUAUUAAAAACACAGCACUGUGCAAACACGAAAGUGGACGUAUACGGUGUGACGCCUGCCCGGUGCCGGAAGGUUAAUUGAUGGGGUUAGCCGCAAGGCGAAGCUCUUGAUCGAAGCCCCGGUAAACGGCGGCCGUAACUAUAACGGUCCUAAGGUAGCGAAAUUCCUUGUCGGGUAAGUUCCGACCUGCACGAAUGGCGUAAUGAUGGCCAGGCUGUCUCCACCCGAGACUCAGUGAAAUUGAACUCGCUGUGAAGAUGCAGUGUACCCGCGGCAAGACGGAAAGACCCCGUGAACCUUUACUAUAGCUUGACACUGAACAUUGAGCCUUGAUGUGUAGGAUAGGUGGGAGGCUUAGAAGUGUGGACGCCAGUCUGCAUGGAGCCGACCUUGAAAUACCACCCUUUAAUGUUUGAUGUUCUAACGUUGACCCGUAAUCCGGGUUGCGGACAGUGUCUGGUGGGUAGUUUGACUGGGGCGGUCUCCUCCUAAAGAGUAACGGAGGAGCACGAAGGUUGGCUAAUCCUGGUCGGACAUCAGGAGGUUAGUGCAAUGGCAUAAGCCAGCUUGACUGCGAGCGUGACGGCGCGAGCAGGUGCGAAAGCAGGUCAUAGUGAUCCGGUGGUUCUGAAUGGAAGGGCCAUCGCUCAACGGAUAAAAGGUACUCCGGGGAUAACAGGCUGAUACCGCCCAAGAGUUCAUAUCGACGGCGGUGUUUGGCACCUCGAUGUCGGCUCAUCACAUCCUGGGGCUGAAGUAGGUCCCAAGGGUAUGGCUGUUCGCCAUUUAAAGUGGUACGCGAGCUGGGUUUAGAACGUCGUGAGACAGUUCGGUCCCUAUCUGCCGUGGGCGCUGGAGAACUGAGGGGGGCUGCUCCUAGUACGAGAGGACCGGAGUGGACGCAUCACUGGUGUUCGGGUUGUCAUGCCAAUGGCACUGCCCGGUAGCUAAAUGCGGAAGAGAUAAGUGCUGAAAGCAUCUAAGCACGAAACUUGCC
rnacentral:rRNA from 1 species